rnacentral:rRNA from 1 species
CCUACGGGAGGCAGCAGUGGGGAAUAUUGCACAAUGGGGGAAACCCUGAUGCAGCGACGCCGCGUGAGUGAAGCAGUAAUUCGUUAUGUAAAGCCCUACCAGCAGGGAAGAAAAUGACGGUACCUGAGUAAGAAGCCCCGGCUAACUACGUGCCAGCAGCCGCGGUAAUACGUAGGGGGCAAGCGUUAUCCGGAUUUACUGGGUGUAAAGGGAGCGUAGGCGGCAGUGCAAGUCUGGAGUGAAAGGCGGGGGCUCAACCCGCGGAUUGCACUGGAAACUGGACGGCUGGAAUGCGGGAGAGGUAAGUGGAAUUCCUGGUGUAGCGGUGAAAUGCGUAGAUAUUAGGAGGAACACCAGUGGCGAAAGCGGCUUACUGGACUGUAACUGACGUUGAGGAUCGAAAGCGUGGGGAGCAAACAGGAUUAGAUACCCCUGUAGUC